UAAGCGGAGGAAAAGAAACCAACCGGGAUUGCCUCAGUAACGGCGAGUGAAGCGGCAAGAGCUCAAAUUUGAAAUCUGGCCCCUCCGGGGUCCGAGUUGUAAUUUGCAGAGGAUGCUUCGGGUGCGGCCCCUGUCUAAGUGCCCUGGAACGGGCCGUCAGAGAGGGUGAGAAUCCCGUCUUGGGCAGGGUGCCCGUGCCCGUGUGAAGCUCCUUCGACGAGUCGAGUUGUUUGGGAAUGCAGCUCAAAAUGGGUGGUAAAUUUCAUCUAAAGCUAAAUACCGGCCGGAGACCGAUAGCGCACAAGUAGAGUGAUCGAAAGAUGAAAAGCACUUUGAAAAGAGAGUUAAACAGCACGUGAAAUUGUUGAAAGGGAAGCGCUUGCAACCAGACUCGGCCUCGGGGUUCAGCCAGCAUUCGUGCUGGUGUACUUCCCCGGGGCCGGGCCAGCGUCGGUUUGGGCGGCCGGUCAAAGGCCCCAGGAAUGUAUCGUCCUCCGGGACGUCUUAUAGCCUGGGGUGCAAUGCGGCCAGCCUGGACCGAGGAACGCGCUUCGGCACGGACGCUGGCGUAAUGGUCGCAAACGACCCGUCUUGAAACACGGACCAAGGAGUCUAACAUCUACGCGAGUGUUCGGGUGUCAAACCCGUACGCGCAGUGAAAGCGAACGGAGGUGGGAGCCCCCCCGGGGCGCACCAUCGACCGAUCCUGAUGUCUUCGGAUGGAUUUGAGUACGAGCGUAGCUGUGGGGACCCGAAAGAUGGUGAACUAUGCCUGAAUAGGGUGAAGCCAGAGGAAACUCUGGUGGAGGCUCGCAGCGGUUCUGACGUGCAAAUCGAUCGUCAAAUUUGGGUAUAGGGGCGAAAGACUAAUCG
rnacentral:rRNA from 1 species